CAGAAACUUUCUGCAGGUUAAUUAUUGAUCAAACUAAAGUCAUAUUAAGGAGCUACUGGCACGGAGUCAGAGCAGAGCACAGAAAUCGGAAAUAUAUCAAAGUAUAUUAAAGUUAAAGAGUUUAGAGAACACUGUUUGGUUAGCUGCCUCAAAGGCAGAUGACUCUCAAUAUCACAAGAUCAGGUGAGAUUUCAGACCAAUGGAAAAUCACCGGGAUUAUCUGUGAAGAGGCAGAAAAGCAUAGACGUGGUCUACCUUAUAGCCAUUUUGAAAAGGUGCAGCAGCUGACCUUUGACCUGUGAGCUUCAGACUCUUUGUUGGUGUGAAGUGUUUAAUCUGACGCAGUCUGCAGACACAGACGACUGCUGAUGGAGAAGAAGCAGAGGAUUUUCUCUGUUUCUACACAGACCUGGUCCAGACAGCAGAGAGCUGCAGAGUGAAGAAGUUCAUGGGAAGAAGCUGAGUGAAGGUAGAAAGUGUGUGUGAGCUGAAUUGAGCAGCAUGGAUCAGUGUGAGGACAGAGAGG